rnacentral:tRNA from 1 species
ACCCUUUUAGCUCAGUUGGUAGAGCAACGGAUUUUUAAUCCGUAGGUCAUGGGUUCGAAUCCCAUAGGGGGUACCA